rnacentral:rRNA from 2 species
CACGCCCUAAACGAUGAUCACUCGAUGUGUGCGAUAAACUGUACGCGUCCAAGCGAAAGCAUUAAGUGAUCCACCUGGGGAGUACGACCGCAAGGUUGAAACUCAAAGGAAUUGACGGGGGCCCGCACAAGCGGAGGAGCAUGUGGUUUAAUUCGAUGAUACGCGAGGAACCUUACCAGGGCUUGAAAGUUAAGGAAUGAUGUAGAAAUAUGUCAGUCAGCAAUGACCUAAAACUAGGUGC